rnacentral:ncRNA from 1 species
AGGGCAAACCCGCCGAAAGACGGGGACGCAAAGCCUCCGGCCUACGGCGCAGAAGCGCUACGGUAGCGGGGUUGCCAA